rnacentral:rRNA from 1 species
GGACCCGCACAAGCGGUGGAGCAUGUGGUUUAAUUCGAAGCAACGCGAAGAACCUUACCAAAUCUUGACAUCCUUUGAAAACUCUAGAGAUAGAGCCUUCCCCUUCGGGGGACAAAGUGACAGGUGGUGCAUGGUUGUCGUCAGCUCGUGUCGUGAGAUGUUGGGUUAAGUCCCGCAACGAGCGCAACCCUUAAACUUAGUUGCCAGCAUUUAGUUGGGCACUCUAGGUUGACUGCCGGUAAUAAACCGGAGGAAGGUGGGG